UACAGAGGUCUCAAGCGUUGUUCGGAUUCAUUGGGCGUAAAGGGUGCGUAGGUGGCGCUGUAAGUCAGGUGUGAAAUUUCGGAGCUUAACUCCGAAACUGCAUUUGAUACUGCGGUGCUCGAGGACUGGAGAGGAGACUGGAAUUUACGGUGUAGCAGUGAAAAUGCGUAGAGAUCGUAAGGAAGACCAGUGGCGAAGGCGGGGUCUCUGGACAGUUCCUGACACUGAGGCACGAAGGCCAGGGGAGCAAACGGG
rnacentral:rRNA from 1 species